UACGACGAAUAUUUAAUCCCCUGAUCAAUUGAUUCAUGAGACUUGGUUUUAUUAAGUAAUGCUGUGCUGUGUGUGUUGAGUAGGUAACUCGUUUCAAAUGCGGAGGCGUUUGUCUUGCGACUAGAUUUCAUCAUAUUUUAGCAGAUGGAGCUUCAACGUACCAUUUCGUCAACUCAUGGGCUGAGAUGACACGUAGUGUUCCUAUUAGCAUUCUACCUUUCUUUGAUCGAACCGUACUAGAUUUUGGGGUUCCAAAUUCUCCUAGAUUCCAUCACAUUGAAUACGACCCACCUCCUUCAAUGAAUACUCCUACUCAAAAUUCCGAAUCCAUUUGUACCGCAAUCCUGAAUCUGUCACUUGAGCAAAUCAAGAUUCUCAAGGAAAAAUCUAAAGAAAAUCGUGGAUCCACAUUCGAGUACACUAGACUUGAGGUCCUGGCAGCACAUAUUUGGCGAUGCGUAUGUAAAGCACGUGAAUUGUCUGAUGAUCAAGCCAGCAAGUUACACUUUCCUACAAAUGGACGUUCUAAAUUGAAUCCUCCACUCCCAUCCGGGUAUUUCGGAAAUGUAGUCUUCACCACUGCAUUGAUCGCCUUAUCAGGUAAUAUCCUAUCAGAACCCCUGAAUUAUACAGUAGAGCGAAUCCAUAGAGCAUUAGAGCGGAUGAAUGACGAGUAUUUGAAAUCAGCUCUUGCUUAUCUACGUCAACAACCUGAUCCCACAGUUCUAAGAAGAGGAGCUCACACGUAUAAGUGCCCUAAUUUUAAUAUAGUAUAUUUAGCAAACAUGCCUAUUUAUGAUGCAAAUUUCGGGUGGGGGCCGCCAAUGUUUUCAAGGUUGGUUAAUACAUAUUUCGAAGGGGUAGCGCAUAUUUAUCCAAGUCCAAGCAAUGAUGGGAGCUUGACAGUGUUUAUAAACUUGGAAACCCAUCACGUGCAGCCCUUCAAGAAGUUGUUUUAUGAGAUCUUUCAGCACCCCAAGAAUGCAAGAUCUAGAUAUUGAUAUGUCAGUGAUCAAUCAAUGUGAUAAACCAAGUCUGAGAGAAAAUGAUCAAGGGAUCCCUGGUUCGGGUGACUCAACUAGCUGUUGAUGGCUGUAGAUAUUGUGUGUCUUCGGCUCAUUAUGGUUUUGACCUUCCACUUUUGUCAUCCUUGAUAAAAGUUUUUUUCUUUUUUAAUUUCAUAUUUUGUUAGCUCUUUAAUUAGUAAUAUAUUAUUAGUCAUGUACACAGAAUGAGAUUGUUUUCUUCUUUAAUAUAAUAGCUCACUACGCGAUACCAUUACCAAAAGUUCCUAUAACAACUCGAUCUUCCAGCUACCAUACCCUCAAGAACUUUAGAGUAUGUUGGGAAUAGUCAACUAGCCAAACAAAAACGCUAAAGUCCCUUGCAUUAUAAUUCAGAUGUUAUUAAGAGAUUUUUUUUUUUUUUAAUUUUCAUGACAUCUUUGAUAUAUUUUAGAAUUUCUCCCAUAUGAAAUUUUAAUUUUUUUUUAAAACAAUUGUUAGAUUCGUUGAAUAGGCAUUGUGUUUAACACUUAUUUAAAAAAAAUCCAAAUAUUAUUCUCGGUAAUGAAAAUGUGACACAUUUACAAACCCAACAACUUUGGAAAAUCAAAAUGAAGUAACGAGUAGAUAGAUAAACAGUAUCAAAGCCGAAGGACCAAAGAAGGAACCUAGCCACUUUACAAAAUGAAAAAAUGAAACUACCUGGAGUCGUAUCAUUAAGCCAAAUAUGCGACAUUAUGCAAUGAUAUUUUAGCCCCUCACAUAGUUACACAAUGGGGCGAGGUACACCAUAAACUUUCUCUAUUAGAAACACCAUAAACUUACAAACAGAAAAAAAAAAAAAAGUUGAUGGUGGAAGAGAGUUCACGACAAAAGAGAAAUAGAGAGAAGUAAGCAAAUGAGAGAGAGAAAGAGAUAUAAACUUAUCAAGAGAAAGAGAAGAUAGGUGCAAACAUUUUAGGUAUUUAUUGAAUAAGAAAUUAGGACUAUUUUUAGAAUUAAAAUAGGGGUAUAAGAACAUUUUAAUUUUUAAAUAAUUUUAAUGGGGCAGAAAGAAGAAAAGGAAUUUCAAGAGGUAUUUGGAGGGCGUCAAUAAUCCAAUUAACGUGAUUAACUAAAAUGGCCCACUUUCAUUAUUUCAUCACCAAUAUCUAAAAAAAAAAAAAUUACAACAGAAUUUAUUGUUCUUAAUUAGAGAUGGCUAAUGGGCCACGCGACAUAUGGCAUGGCACAUGCACGGUAUAUGUCGGUACAACAUAUCACGAUAUGAACACAUUUUGAUAGGACACGCAACACAACAUGACACACAUGCAUGCUGGGCUGAGUUAAAAAUUUUAAGCAUGUGAACCUUAAAAGUACGACAUAAUUAAAGACGUACUAAAACAAGACAUGUAAAAAAAUUCGCAAUAAGCACGUUUCACUAGUUGAUUAGCACGUGGCCUAUGGGUCAUCAAUUGCAUGCAAGUCAAAGUAUAAAGUAAAACUUUUUUAAUGAAAAUAAAUUUAAAAUUCUAUGGUUUUACAUAUAACUUGAAAUUGAAUCUUUUAUAUAUUUUAUUAGCUUAAGUUUUUUAAAUUCAAUUAAAUCUUAGUUUAAAAAAAUAUUUUGAUUGUUUUAUAUUUAUAAUUUAAUAAAUGAAUAGAUGAUAUCAUGAUUUUAAUAAAUAAAGUUAUAAAUACCAUGGUUUUAUAAAUGUAUGCAUUGAUACUAUUAUAGACUAUGACCUAUGACUGAAUGUAAGAUCAAGUUAAAAAUUAAGUUAAACUUUAAGAAUUUUUUUUUAUUAUUGUUGUUAUUGUUGUUAAAUAUUAAAAAAAGAAUUAUAAUACCAUAGGGUCUAAUUUAGCUAUUAGUAUUACAUUCUCUUAUUAUUUUUAGUUUAUUAUUAUUGAAUAUGAACUUGAGUUUUAAACUUUUUAUUCUAUAAAUUUGAAUAAGGACAUGUGGACCCAAAAAAAUACAUAGUUUUGAAAUAAGUACGUUAAUAGCUUAGCAUGUUUUCUUAAAAAAAAUAAUAAAAGAAAAAGCUUAUCGUGUUUUUUUUUAGGGCAAAACCCAUGAUAUAGCUCGGCAGGGCACAGAUGGGCUCAGUACAUGUGUUUGGUUGGGCCUAAGUAAAAAAAAAAAAAAGUACCGCAUGACACGGCACAAGCACAAACUUACAUGGACCUUCUUUUAACGACUGGUACGAUCCAUUGGCCAUCUCUAUUCUUAAUCCCUUCUGACUUCAAAAUUAAAAUUCCACGGAAGAAUGAUUGGAAAAAGGACGUCAAAGAUGGUGCAAUUAAAUUUCGUUGCUCCACUUAGUUGAUGAUAUGCUAAAUGUUUAUCAGUUUUGACAGUAAAUUUGGCGAUUUUCAGUGGAAUUUUGACGAUCUUUUUACAAUAUUAUGAUUAAUAAUUAUUAGAUAAGAAAUGUAAAACAUUUAACUUUAUCGGGGCCAAAGUAAAACAUUCUCAAUAUAUUAGGCUCAAAGUAUAAAUAUAGCUUAUAUAAAUAUAUCUUUAUUUUUGGGCCUACAGUCCAUAGAGUAGAAAUAUGAAUUUCAACACAUUAGUCGAUUACUAUCCCCCUUGGUUUAAUUUCAUACACAUUAUCCCAACCAUUAGAUUUAUAUCGUCUAAUCCAACGAGCCAGAACAGCUUUACUAUUAGUUACAAAAUCUGUAACAUAGUCGGGUCCAUUUUUAAUAUGACUUAUGAUACCAUAGCUACAAGGUGGUUGGGCCAGAAAUAACGGAUGAUAAUAAGUACACGUGUUGAAUCUCUCAUUUAACGUCAUCGAUCGACAAAUUGUUCAAUCUCUUAUUUUAAGUUCAUCAACAAAUUGUUCUGGUAGUUACCAUUUCUCAUAGCUUUGUAAGCUUGAAUAUGACCGGUAUGUUCUUUACUUCUUUAUUUUCCUGUUUUUAUCUGUUAAAACCAUGUUCAUACCUUUCUUAAGGUUUGCUCAAUUGAUAUGGAUAGAUAAUUAAAGUAAUUAAUCAGUAAAGUUCUUGGGCUAAAUAUGGAUAACCUGGGUUCCAAGCUCACUAUUAUUAAAAAUUGAAUUAAAAGAAAAAAAAAUUUGAUGUAGCGGCCUAGUUGCCACUUUCAUAUCUUCGUUCAUAAAUAAAUAAAGUUAAAUAAUUUGUCAAAGGGUGGAGUUAUUUUGAAUUCAUGACAGUAGUUUAGUAAAUUUUAUCUAUGAACUCCUACAAUGCCUAUUCAGCGGUGGCCACCAGCUUUCAAGUGAAGAUUAUUCAAUUAUUAUGCCAACAAUUGAUAAUAUAUAUGACAAUCUCCUGAUAACUUUGGCAUGAGUUAAGAAAGAAAUUGAUCAUCAGUAGUUAUAUGAGAAAAAAAAAAAAAGGAAAAAGUAAAAAAAAGACAACAUUUCUUUAAGUAAAAGUCAGAAAUAACUUUAUCAUUGAGAAUGUGGGGUCGUUUUUUUAACUAAUGAAUUAAUUGACUUAAUUUUAAUCAGUUAAAGUAUUAAGUCCGUUUAUUUUUUCAACUUAAUAAAAAUUUUCAGUUUUAGCUUUUUGCUUAAUCUAAAAAAUCUUAAUAAUAUCGUUAAAAAAAUUCUCCAAAAUAUCCUUAUCUAAUUAAUUAAUUUUUAAUCCUUACGUGAAUUAAAUUUAAUAUUAGCAUUAUUACCCAUCUCUAUAUAGCUUGUGAUAAUAUGUAGUGGUAAACUCUAAUUAUUUUUAUCUUUUUAUUUUCUUCACAUUAUCAUUAUUUAUCUUCAUAAUUUUUUAUGAAUAAUUUUCAUAUAAAAAUAUCAUAAACUAUAAUAAAAUUGAUUCACAUUGAAUAUGAUUUACUGUUAUGACAAUUUAUUAUCUUAUUUAUAUUCCUUGAGAUUUUAUUGUUUGGUAACAUUUAUAGUUUGUAAGGGCAUAAAUGGAAAAAUAUUAGUUUUCAGAAUUUUUAAGCUAAAAAACAAACAACUUAAUAUUUAUUUUUAUCGAUUCAGACAAAAAAAAAAUAUCAUUCAUAUUCAAACAUUUAACUCUAUUCAGAAUUUAAACUAAUUCAGAUCUAUUCAGAUUUCAGACAAAAAAAAAAAACAAACACUACCUGCAUCUAUAACAAAAACAUAAAAAUUUGUAGUACAUCCUAUUACAAAUAUUUAAGCCCAAAUAUUUUACAUAGCACCACAAGUCUAAAGUUCCAAAAUAAGAACACAUUUCCAAUGUUUCAAAAUGAUGUACUUACUUGACAAAACACAAUUCCAAUUUCCAAAAUGAUAGAAGACUAUAUCUCAUGAAUCACGACAAAUUUUUCAAAGGAUUUAUCCCUUUUUUCAGCUCAUUGGCCAAGUUGAAGAACCCACGUAGCACAUCAUGUUUGGUGGCCAUAAUAUCAAUCGCAUCAAAUAUUUCUUUCUCACUUAAGCAAACAAUCUUACGCAUUUUAUCAUACAACUUAACUUGUAAAUCAGAUAACUGUUUAUCAGCAAUAGAAAGUACACUAAUCAACCCAUCUAAUUUGCAUACUAUGGCUGAAAUGGACUCCACCGUUGCUCCUAUUUUUAAGCACGUAUUGUGAAAUGUUUUGUCCUUGGUUCUCCUUUUCGCUUUUGGGUGGUUGGAAUUAUUUGGAGCACUUUCAUUUUCAUUAGCAAGUGCUUGUGAAUUUGAGAAUAUAUAUAUGCGAAUAUAGAUAAUAUUAACAUUCAAAACUAUUAGAUGAGAAAACAAAGAGUGACAAAAGAGUUACAAAGUUAAAUCUAUCGAGCCCAUAACAGAUCAUACAAGUAAAUAAGUAAUUUUCAUUUCUUUAUAAUGGAACCUCUACAAAGUGAGGUGAGAAAAUUUAUUAACUAAAAGAAAGUGAAAAUAGUACAAGAGAGAAGAAAGAGCAAAUGCCAUUAGCUAUGAAAAGACAUAUAGGCAAGAACUAAAGAGUUACAAAGCUAAAGUUAUUGAGGCUGGACAUAAACCGAGCCCAUAACAGGUCUCAUAUAUAAGCAAAAUAGUAAAUAAACUAAGAAGUUAUUACAUUUAAAAUUUAAUAUAAAUAUAAAAUUAUGAUAAUUAUUAGUUAAAUAAACUAAAAAGUUAUUACAUGAAGUUCCCAUUUACCAAGUAUAUCCAGGUUUCUGCUCAAUCAUCUCUAAUUAGAAAACGAAAAUAUUCCACAAUUCUUUAUUUUCGUUAUAAAAAAAAUUCUCGUAUUCUUAGUAUUCCUUCAAAUUAGAGCUAAAAUGACAGAUGAAAGUCAGAGAAUAUAAGGCAAAAGAAGAAGAAAAGGUUGGUCAUAAUGUGUUAAAACGACAAAUAUGCUUUUGAGAACAAAUCUACUCAAAUUCCUAUCUUUUUUUUUUUUGAUACAUUGAUAUAUUAUAAUCAGAACUCUACUGAUAUUUAAAAUCAGAAAUCAGUCGGAAUUCUUUUGAAUAAUCAUGUUGAAGCACAGCCCGAAUACCAACGAUUCGUUUAAGGAAUGUCUGUCCUCACUAUUAAUACUAAAGAGAAAUUGAUUAUAUCCGACAUGAAAAAAUUAUUCAACCCCUAUUAUGCAGGGGAGUCAAGUCCCAACACUCUGCGAGCGCUGGGACUUGAACCCAUAGCCCACUGGCACUCAAAUUCCUAUUUACUCAUACUCCAAUUGAUAGGUGUAAGCAAGUAACUAUGUGACCUCGAUCAUUGCAAUGACUCUUUAACAACCCUAUAAAUAUAUAUUUUUAGUUGGCUCAAGAUUUCAGAACCCUCAAUCAGUGAUGGUUGGCUCAAGAUUUCAGAAGAAUCCUCUCACUUCCAUAUUUACUUCCUUGUUCAAGAAAGAAAAUAAGAGUCCCUGUUCACAAGUGUUAUUUCAUCUUCUUAAUUUCUUAUUUCUAGUAUUUACUUCAUUUUUCUCUAUUCAUUAGGUCUGGAUCCGCGAAAUCAGCACCCGGCCAUGACAUGUGCAUUAUUAAAUUUUAAAAAAGUCGGAUGCAGAUCAGCAUCUGAUAUUUGCCACGUAUUCGGAUCCAUUUUUUAAUUAUUAAAAAAAAAAGAAAAGACAAAAAAAGAAUUUUUUAUUUUGAGACUGAGACAAAAACAGAGUCAGAGGCGUGUACGUUUCAUAACCUUUCCUUUUUUUUUUAAAGAAAAUCCUAAACGCAGCCUGUCGACACAACACACGAAAGCUGCUAGAGCAGAGAAGAUUAACCGCCGUCUGCCGCUGCCGUUCUAAUCAGCCAAGUCGCCACGGCUAGCACAAUGGAAAUUCAUGUACAGAAGUCAACAAUAAUACGGCCUGCCCAAGAAACGCUCAAGCAACGCCUACGAAAUUCUGACUUGGACUUGAUUGCGCCAUCCAAUUACGUCCCCCAGGUAUUCUUUUAUCGACGGCCAAAUUAUUCUUCCCCUAAUUUCUUUGAUGCUGGUUUGCUGAAGGAGUCUCUGAAAAAGAUUCUUGUGCCGUUUCGACCCGUGGCUGGAAGGUUGCCGAGUGAUGAAAGUGGCAGAACCGACAUACUAUGUAACGGAGAGGGGGUUUUGUUUGUGGAGGCGGAAACAAGUUGUGUUAUUGAUGAUUUUGGUGACUUCGCCGAAGGCUCCAAGCUUUUGUCGUUGCUUCCAACUUUUGAUGAGACGAAAGAUAAUUCUUCUUAUCCACUCAUGAUGACACAGGUACGACGAAUAUUUAAUCCCCUGAUCAAUUGAUUCAUGAGACUUGGUUUCAUUAAGUAAUGCUGUGCUGUGUGUGUUGAGUAGGUAACUCGUUUCAAAUGCGGAGGCGUUUGUCUUGCGACUAGAUUUCAUCAUAUUUUAGCAGAUGGAGCUUCAACGUACCAUUUCGUCAACUCAUGGGCUGAGAUGACACGUGGUGUUCUUAUUAGCAUUCCACCUUUCUUUGAUCGAACCGUACUAGAUUUUGGGGUUCCAAAUUCUCCUAGAUUCCAUCACAUUGAAUACGACCCACCUCCUUCAAUGAAUACUCCUACUCAAAAUUCCGAAUCCAUUUGUACCGCAAUCCUGAAUCUGUCACUUGAGCAAAUCAAGAUUCUCAAGGAAAAAUCUAAAGAAAAUCGUGGAUCCACAUUCGAGUACACUAGACUUGAGGUCCUGGCAGCACAUAUUUGGCGAUGCGUAUGUAAAGCACGUGAAUUGUCUGAUGAUCAAGCCAGCAAGUUACACUUUCCUACAAAUGGACGUUCUAAAUUGAAUCCUCCACUCCCAUCCGGGUAUUUCGGAAAUGUAGUCUUCACCACUGCAUUGAUCGCCUUAUCAGGUAAUAUCCUAUCAGAACCCCUGAAUUAUACAGUAGAGCGAAUCCAUAGAGCAUUAGAGCGGAUGAAUGACGAGUAUUUGAAAUCAGCUCUUGCUUAUCUACGUCAACAACCUGAUCCCACAGUUCUAAGAAGAGGAGCUCACACGUAUAAGUGCCCUAAUUUUAAUAUAGUAUAUUUAGCAAACAUGCCUAUUUAUGAUGCAAAUUUCGGGUGGGGGCCGCCAAUGUUUUCAAGGUUGGUUAAUACAUAUUUCGAAGGGGUAGCGCAUAUUUAUCCAAGUCCAAGCAAUGAUGGGAGCUUGACAGUGUUUAUAAACUUGGAAACCCAUCACGUGCAGCCCUUCAAGAAGUUGUUUUAUGAGAUCUUUCAGCACCCCAAGAAUGCAAGAUCUAGAUAUUGAUAUGUCAGUGAUCAAUCAAUGUGAUAAACCAAGUCUGAGAGAAAAUGAUCAAGGGAUCCCUGGUUCGGGUGACUCAACUAGCUGUUGAUGGCUGUAGAUAUUGUGUGUCUUCGGCUCAUUAUGGUUUUGACCUUCCACUUUUGUCAUCCUUGAUAAAAGUUUUUUUCUUUUUUAAUUUCAUAUUUUGUUAGCUCUUUAAUUAGUAAUAUAUUAUUAGUGAUGUACACAGAAUGAGAUUGUUUUCUUCUUUAAUAUAAUAGCUCACUACGCGAUACCAUUACCAAAAGUUCCUAUAACAACUCGAUCUUCCAGCUACCAUACCCUCAAGAACUUUAGAGUAUGUUGGGAAUAGUCAACUAGCCAAACAAAAACGCUAAAGUCCCUUGCAUUAUAAUUCAGAUGUUAUUAAGAGAUUUUUUUUUUUAAAUUUUCAUGACAUCUUUGAUAUAUUUUAGAAUUUCUCCCAUAUGAAAUUUUAAUUUUUUUUUAAAACAAUUGUUAGAUUCGUUGAAUAGGCAUUGUGUUUAACACUUAUUUAAAAAAAAUCCAAAUAUUAUUCUCGGUAAUGAAAAUGUGACACAUUUACAAACCCAACAACUUUGGAAAAUCAAAAUGAAGUAACGAGUAGAUAGAUAAACAGUAUCAAAGCCGAAGGACCAAAGAAGGAACCUAGCCACUUUACAAAAUGAAAAAAUGAAACUACGUGGAGUCGUAUCAUUAAGCCAAAUAUGCGACAUUAUGCAAUGAUAUUUUAGCCCCUCACAUAGUUACACAAUGGGGCGAGGUACACCAUAAACUUUCUCUAUUAGAAACACCAUAAACUUACAAACAGAAAAAAAAAAAAAAAAAAAAAAAGUUGAUGGUGGAAGAGAGUUCACGACAAAAGAGAAAUAGAGAGAGGUAAGCAAAUGGGAGAGAGAAAGAGAUAUAAACUUAUCAAGAGAAAGAGAAGAUAGGUGCAAACAUUUUAGGUAUUUAUUGAAUAAGAAAUUAGGACUAUUUUUAGAAUUAAAAUAGGGGUAUAAGAACAUUUUAAUUUUUAAAUAAUUUUAAUGGGGCAGAAAGAAGAAAAGGAAUUUCAAGAGUUAUUUGGAGGAUGUCAAUAGUCCAACUCAUGGAGGAUGUCAAUAGUCCAACUCAUGUGAUUAAAUAAAUUGGCCCACUUUCAUUAUUUUGUCACCAAUAUCUGAAAAAAAAAAUUUACAGCAAAAUUUAUUGUUCUUAAUUAGAGAUGGCCAAUGGCCAGGCAACAUGCGGCACGGUACGGACACGGUGCAUGUCGAUACAACACGGCAAGACAUGAGCAUAUUUUGGUAGGGCAUGCAGCACAACAUGACACGUAUGCAUGCUGGGCUGAGUUAAAAAUUCUAGGCACGUGAGCCUUAAAAGUACAGGAUGAUUAAAGACAACAAUUGAUAAUAUAUAUGACAAUCUCCUGAUAAAUUUGGUGUGAGUUAAGAAAGAAAUUGAUCAUCACCAGUUACAUGAGGAAAAACCAAAGAAAAAAUAAAAAAGACAACACUUCUUUGAGCAAAAGUCAUAAACAACUUUACCAUUGAGGAUGCAAGACCCUUUUUUUUUAACUUAAUGAAUUAAUUGACUAAUUUUAAUCAGUUAAGUAUUAAGUUUAUUUGUUUUUUCAACUUAAUGAAAAUUUUCAGUUAUUAAGCUAUUUUUUUAGCUUUUUACUUAAUCUAAAAAGUCUGAAUAACAUCGUUAAAAGAUAUUCUCUAAAAUAUCCUUAUCUAAUUAAUUAAUUUUUAAUCCUUACGUGAAUUAAAUUUAAUAAUUAGCAAUAUUAGCCAUCUCUAUAUAACUUGUGAUAAUAUAUAGUGGUAGAUUAUAAUUAUUUUUUUUUUUAUUUUCUUCACAUUAGCAUUAUUUAUCUUCAUAAUUUUCUAUGAAUAUUUUUCAUUUAAAAACAUCAUAAACUAUAAUAAAAUUGUUUAACAUAUAUAACAUAGAAUAUUAAAGAGUUGCAUUCAAUUGAAUAUGAUUUAUGUUAUUAUAUUUUUUGAGAUGUUUAUUAUUUGCUAACAUUUAUAAUUUAUAAGGGCAUAAAUGUAAAAAAUAUUAGUUUUUAGAUUUUUUAAGAUUAAAAAAAUUAAUAUUUAUUUUUAGCGAUUCAGACAAAAAAAGAAACAUAUCAUUCAGCUUCAGACAUUCAGUUCUAUUCACAAUUUUAACUAAUUUAGAUUUAUUCAGAUUUCAGACAAAAAAAAAAAAAAAAACUACAUGCGUCUAUAGCAAAAACAUAAGAGUCUGUAGUUCAUCCUAUUACAAAUAUUUAAGCCCAAAAUAUUUUACAUAGCACCACAAGUCUAAAUUUCCAAAAAAAAAAAAACACACGUUUCCAAUGUUCCAAAAUGGUGUGCUUACUUGACAAAACACAAUUUCAAUUUCCAAAAUGAUAGAAGAUUACAUCUCAUGAAUCACGACCAAUUUUUGAAAGGAUAUAUCCCUUUUUCCAGCUCAUUGGGCAAGUUGAAGAACCCACGUAGCACAUCAUGUUUGGUGGCCAUAAUAUCAAUCGCAUCAAAUAUUUCUUUCUCACUUAAGCCAACAAUCUUACGCAUUUUAUCAUACAACUUAACUUGUAAAUCAGAUAACUACUUAUUAGUAGUAGAAAGUACACUAAUCAACCCAUCUAAUUUGGGUACCAUGGUUGAAAUGGACUCCGUCGUUGCUCCUAUUUUUGAGCACAUAUUGUGAAAUGUUUUGUCCUUGGUUCUCCUUUCCUUUUUUGGGUGGCUGGAAUUACUUGGAGCACUUUCAUUUUUAUUAGCAGGUGCUUGUGAAUUUGAGAAUAUAGAUAUGCGAAUAGAGAUAAUAUUAACAUUCAAAACCAUUAGAUGAGAAAACAAAGAGUUACGAAGCUAAAUCUACCGAGCCCAUAACAAAUCACACAAGUAAACAAGUAAUUUUCAUUUCUUUAUAAUGGAACCUCUACUAAGUGAGGUGGGAAAAUUUAUUAACUAAAAGAAAGUGAAAAUAGUGCAAGAGAGAAGAAAGAGCAAAUGCUAGCCAUAGCUAAACCAUGAAAAGACAUAUAGGCAAGAACUAAAGAGUUACAAAGCUAAAGCUAUCGAGGCUGGACAUAAACGAAGCCCAUCACAAGUCAUGUAUAAGCAAAUAAGUUAAUAAACUAAGAAAUUAUUACAUUUAAAAUUUAAUAUAAAUAUAAAAUUAUGAUCAUUAUUAGUUUUUUUUUUUUAUUAUAUGAGACUAUUGCUCAAACUACAACUGAUAUUAUAUGAGACUAUAACUGAUAUUUACAAAUCAGACUAUUACUGGAAUCGACUUACAUCAAUGCCUACAGAGCUCUGCCCAGAUUUUAAUCAUCACUAAUAUUCGAGGGAUGUCUACCGACUUACAUCAAUGCCUACGGAGCUUUGCCUAGAUUUUAAUCCACAUUAAUAUUCGAAAGAUGUCUACUCCACUUACUCUUGGAUAAGAGAGAAUAUUACCUUCACUCAUUUAUACAAUAUAAUUAAGGAAGGAAAUACCCCCACAUUGCGCAGGGCGAGUGGCAUGAUAAUUAUUAGUUAAAUAAACUAAGAACUUAUUACAUGAAGUUCCCACUUACCAAGUAUAUCCAGGUUUCUGUUCAAUCAUCUCUAAUUAGAAAACGAAAAUAUUCCACAGUUCUUUAUUUUCUUUUGAAAAAGAAAAUCCUCGUUUUCUUGGUAUUCCUUCAAAUUAAAGUUAAAAUGAUAGAUGAGAGGCAGAUAAUGGAAGGCAAAAGACAGAAGAAAAAGGUUGGUCAUAAUGUGUUAAAACGAAAAAUAUGCUUUUGAGAACAAAUCUACUCAAAUCCCUAACUACUCUUACUCCAACUGAUGUGUGUAAGCAAAUAAUGAUGUGACCUCGAUCAUCUCAAUGACUCUGUAACAACCCUAUAAAUAUAUAUUUUUAUCUAUCCUGCUAGUUUGUACAUGGGAUCAGAACCCUCAAUCAAUGGUAGUUGGCUCAAGAUUUUAAAAGAAGCGGGGAGUUCGGAAUCCUCUCACUUCCAUAUUUUUUGUUUUUUUUUUUGGUUUAAACCACCCGAUUUCCGGCAACUGCAUUGGGCCCCGACUAAUCCGGAUUCGGGGUGUAAUCACAGUUAAGGCUCUUUACCCCUCCCAAAUGGUUUGUUUAGUGGGGAUCGAACUCGAGAACUCUUCCCACUUACCCAGCCUGCGUCGCCAACUGAGCCACAACCGUUUGGUCACUUCCAUAUUUACUUGCUUGUUUAAGAAAGAAAAUAAGAAUCCCUGUUCACAAGUAUUAUUUCAUUUUCUUAAUUUUUUAUUUCUGGUACUUACUUCAUUUUUCUCUAUUCAUUAGGUCUGGAUCCACGAAAUCUGCACCCGGUCCUUUUUUGAAGGGUGGGGUUAUAUGCACUCUAAAAUUUACUUUGGACACUCACAUUUUAAUAAUUAUUUAUAUUACUAAAUUAACCUUAAUGUAAUUUACUAUUAAGGACAAUUUUAAUAAAAUAUAGUAUAACAAAUUUUUGUCCAACAUCAUAUUUUAUUUACAAUAAACCACAUCAACUUUAUAACUGAAACAAAAGGAAUUAAAAAUAGAGGUGGAGGAAGAACAACAAAUUGCACCACUCCAACAUAAGAAAACGCAAGUAAAUCAAAGGAUUUUGUUUUAAAUUUGCUCUCCGAUUUGCAUGCUUUUAUGGGUUUGAAAAACAAUUAAAUUGCGGCAAUAAGAGAAGAACAAAUACAGGGGCGGGUGCAGUAUGUGACCAGUGGGGGUUGUAGCCCUCGCUGGCCAAAAAAAAAAUUCUAAGAAUAAAAGAAAAAAUAUUUAAGAUUUCUAAUUAGUCCCCAAUAAAUCUAUUAAAAUUGACCUUAUACAUUUAUAAAUUCACAAAAUUUAAACUUUAACUUUUAAAAUUAUAAAAGCCUACAUUAUAAUUAAAAAUAAUGAUAGGUCAUCACCACAAAUAUUUUUCUAUUCUUGAAAAUGUGUCAAGAACAAUUAUAAAUAUAUUAAUAAAUAUUUUAUAUAUUCAAAGUUUUAGUUUUAAAAUUUUACUAUUAUGUAAUCUAGGCUUCGGUAAAUUAUUUUUUUAGAUCUGCCACUGAACAAAUACAUAUCAAACCAUAUUAUGAACAGAAAAGAAAAGUGAAUAAAAAUGGAAAAAAAAGUUAGAUAUUUUGUUUGUGAUGAUGAAUAUUUCAUUUGGUAUAAAGAAGAAACAAGGUAAUUAAAGAAAUGAGGACAAUAUAAAAUUUAAAAGAGUGUUACAAAUAAAAACUAACAUUUUUGAGAUUAUUAAUUAAGCGCGCGGACUAAACGAAUGUUUAAAGUAGAUUUUAGCGUUCAAAUAGCCCUACUGUUUUUCUAAUGAUAUGUGCAUUAUUAAAUUUAAAAAAAAGUUGGAUGCAGAUCAUCAGCAUCUGAUAUUUGCCACGUAUUCGGAUCCAUUUUUUAAUUAUAAAAAAAAAAAGACAAAAAUAGAAUUUUUUAUUUUGAAACUGAGACAAAAACAGAGUCAGAGGCGUGUAAGUUUCAUAACCUUUCCUUUUUUUUUUUAAAGAAAAUCCUAAACGCAGCCUGCCGACACAACACACGAAAGCUGCUAGAGCAGAGAAGAUUAACCGCCGUCUGCCGCUGCCGUUCUAAUCAGCCAAGUCGCCACGGCUAGCACAAUGGAAAUUCAUGUACAGAAGUCAACAAUGAUACGGCCUGCCCAAGAAACGCCCAAGCAACGCCUACGAAAUUCUGACUUGGACUUGGUUGCGCCGUCCAAUUACAACCCCCUGGUAUUCUUUUAUCGACGGCCAAAUUAUUCUUCCCCUAAUUUCUUUGAUGCUGGUUUGCUGAAGGAGUCUCUGAAAAAGAUUCUUGUGCCGUUUCGACCCGUGGCUGGAAGGUUGCCGAGUGAUGAAAGUGGCAGAACCGACAUACUAUGUAACGGAGAGGGGGUUUUGUUUGUGGAGGCGGAAACAAGUUGUGUUAUUGAUGAUUUUGGUGACUUCGCCGAAGGCUCCAAGCUUUUGCCGUUGCUUCCAACUUUUGAUGAGACGAAAGAUAAUUCUUCUUAUCCAGUCAUGAUGACACAGGUACGACGAAUAUUUAAUCCCCUGAUCAAUUGAUUCAUGAGACUUGGUUUUAUUAAGUAAUGCUGUGCUGUGUGUGUUGAGUAGGUAACUCGUUUCAAAUGCGGAGGCGUUUGUCUUGCGACUAGAUUUCAUCAUAUUUUAGCAGAUGGAGCUUCAACGCACCAUUUCGUCAACUCAUGGGCUGAGAUGACACGUGGUGUUCCUAUUAGCAUUCUACCUUUCUUUGAUCGAACCGUACUAGAUUUUGGGGUUCCAAAUUCUCCUAGAUUCCAUCACAUUGAAUACGACCCACCUCCUUCAAUGAAUACUCCUACUCAAAAUUCCGAAUCCAUUUGUACCGCAAUCCUGAAUCUGUCACUUGAGCAAAUCAAGAUUCUCAAGGAAAAAUCUAAAGAAAAUCGUGGAUCCACAUUCGAGUACACUAGACUUGAGGUCCUGGCAGCACAUAUUUGGCGAUGCGUAUGUAAAGCACGUGAAUUGUCUGAUGAUCAAGCCAGCAAGUUACACUUUCCUACAAAUGGACGUUCUAAAUUGAAUCCUCCACUCCCAUCCGGGUAUUUCGGAAAUGUAGUCUUCACCACUGCAUUGAUCGCCUUAUCAGGUAAUAUCCUAUCAGAACCCCUGAAUUAUACAGUAGAGCGAAUCCAUAGAGCAUUAGAGCGGAUGAAUGACGAGUAUUUGAAAUCAGCUCUUGCUUAUCUACGUCAACAACCUGAUCCGACAGUUUUAAGAAGAGGAGCUCACACGUAUAAGUGCCCUAAUUUUAAUAUAGUAUAUUUAGCAAACAUGCCUAUUUAUGAUGCAAAUUUCGGGUGGGGGCCGCCAAUGUUUUCAAGGUUGGUUAAUACAUAUUUCGAAGGG
rnacentral:lncRNA from 1 species